ensembl:lncRNA
CACUCUAUAAUAUACAUGCAGUCUCAGUGGAAGGGGAACCUGUCUAAACCAUCCGAUAUCAAUAUAAUAUUUUUUUAUAUAAUUAUUUUAAUAUUUUGACUAAAAAAUUAAUUAUAAACCUUAUUUCUUACACUAAUAGAACCUUGUUGUUUUUUUUUGUUUGGUUUUUUUGUUUGGUUUUUUUAGGGUUAGGCAUUUAUUUUUAAUGGUUAGGGUAAGGGGCUAAGGAGACCAUUAUGUCAAUGAAGGUCCUCACUAAGAUAGCUGAAUGGGCUUGUGUGUGUGUUUGUGUGAGACAUCAUAUAAAACAAGAGGAAACUCAACUUGUGUUGAGACUGUAAUCGUUUGUCAAGUUGUCUGUUUUCCUGACUGUACAGUGUGAUGUGACGAGGUUAAAGAGCUAAUGUGCGGUGUUUAGCUUCUUCUUCUUCUUCUUCUUUUUUUUAAAUAUACCUGAUAAAUUAAAAUGUCAGCUUGCCUCUGUUUAAAUCUGGCAUAUGUGGUGUGGCUUACCCACUUUCACUUAGCAGUUAACUGUGAAAACACAAAGUCUUCAAAUUUAUUUAUUUAGGAUUUUUUUUUUUUUUUUUUUUUUUUACAGGGAUGCACCAUUUUUAUUGGCAGAUAUUGGCUUCAACUCCCAUCAGUUUAUUCAGCAAAUAAGACGGCAUUCAAAAACUGCAGCAACUGAUGUUUGUUUGUUGUGCUCCAUCAGUUUGGUGUCCAUUUCUAGCUCAGAAUGGGUCUCUCACAUCCAGUCAGGUGCAUGUGUCUGGACGACACUUAGAAUACAAUAUUUUGUUUUCUGAAACUAAUGAUGGCUUCCUUCGCUUAGAUUGACACGUCUGUUGACCCUCAUAUUUAGAUUUCAAGAGAACAGCAACCAAAUGCAAAUGCAACAAAACCACUUCAGACCUCAAUGAGGCUUCAUUACGAAAGAACUGGCCUCACCUGGCCAUAAAACUGUUCCUCGGUCGAUAACAGUAUUGGCCUGUUAUUUUUGGCCAUUUGAUAAACAAAAGUAUACUGUGUGUUUUAGUAACUCAAACCCCCACUUUAGAUGAGUAACGGACUUGUAAGCAGUUUAUCUCUUAUGUCAUAUGAAAAAGGUUGAAGUCUUUUACAUCUGAUAUUCAGAUAUUUGUAUUUGUAGAGAAUCCACGUCAACAUUUGUUUUAAAUUUUGUGUUGUUAAUAAAAAUAUAAAGGACAGUAACUACAAUGAGAGACAAACAAAAAAGAGAGUGAGAGGACUACAGAGUGUAGUAGCGAUGCAGUAAUACAGUCACUACAAAAAAAACAAAGCAAGAUUUAAUUAAAUUCCACAAAGAACAUCCAACUCCUCUCAGGCUUGUAGAACUGCAGCGACUUGUUCCUUUGAUAAGUCCAUAAAGUCCUCAAACCGCUUCACCUUACCGCAACAGGUUGUUGUUUCAAGUUUGUUAAAAUGAUUUCAUUUGACUGUGCAAUUAUUUCAGAAGCAAAAUGUGUUUCAGAAACCUAAUCUUAACCCUAGCUGAGUCACCAGUGAGGUUAAACAUUGUUAUCUGCUUAAAAUUUCACAAUUGGUGCAUUCUUGUGUUUUUAUUUAUUUAAUUUUUUUAAUCCGUUUCUAACCGAGAAUGAUGCAGCCGUCAUGCAAGGCCUCCUGCUGACCUGUAGAGUUCUUAUUUUUGUCUUCCACAUUUAAACUUCUUGUGGCAUUUCCAGUGAGAAACCAUGUGCCACAUCUCUAAACAAACAAAAGGUUAAACAUUACACAAGUUUAAUCCAGACUAUCACUCAGCAGACACGGUCAGCUGACACCUCAGACCUCCUGUGAUUGUCAAGACAUGCUGACCUUAUUUUCUGCCACCCCUGCAGGGGUCGAACCCUCGUCAUAAUGAAGCUUUUCAUCACAAACCCUAAAACAACCACUCAGACUACAUCUAUAAAUAUUUUACAGAGACAGAAAAGGAGUGGUGGAGAUGCGUCUGAUAAAGCUCUUAACCAUUUACCACUCUACUUAUUCUCUCCUGCUUUAGUUAACUCAGCAGCCUACCAAGCCCUUCUUCAAAACCCACACUUCUUCCAGAAGAUGCAAAUCAUUAACUCCUUAUCUUGCUGCUUGGCCAAUCGGUAUGCAGGCAUCCAGUGAUUUUCCUGUGUAGUGAGUCACGCCACUGGACUCUAAAAGCCCUUUCACCCACCGCUGAUCCUGAUCGAUAGGAGUAAAUGAACCAAGGAUUCCUUUGAUCAUUUUGUUUGGUGUUUGCAUCAAUAGUGAUGUUUGUUUUUUGCAUCCCAGGUUCAUACCCAGCCUGCAUCAAAUGUACAAAUAAAAAAAAAUCGUACAGAGUUCAGGUAUCAGCACAUUUAAAUUAGUAUUUAUUUAUUUUUUAUUGUAGCAGUGUCCCCGUCAAAUUUGACUCUUGAUGCGAGCAUUCAGCCAGGUUCACCAUGGGAUUUUUUUUUUUUUUUUUUUUUUUUGUGUGUGUUUCUAAAUCUUACACAUGGAAACGCAGUAUAAAUAAUGGUCCGUUUAAAGCCUUUGAAAAGUAGUGAGUUUGUGUGAAUAUGGUGUAACCUAAUCAGAAAAGCCCUUGUAAUAGGAAAUUCUGUGUUUUGUAAUAUUUCUGUAAGGGAUGUAAUAAAUUAUUCGAUGGCAGUACUUUCUAUGGGAAACUACUUAAAAUGUGACAGUCUUUGUUAGUAUUUAUCUUCCAAUUUAAAUUAUUGUCUUUUUUUUCUCUCUCGCUCCUUUUUUUUUUUUUUUUUUUUUGGCAAUUUGUAGAUAGUGACGAUGACAAGGUAUGGGUAAUCACGAAAUUAACUGUUUCAUCAUAGGUCCGAUGCAUUGUUUAAUUUAUUGAUGUAUAUAGUGUACGUUUGUUGAUAAACAGCUUACUUUAUUUUGUAUAUGACCAAUAAACAUGUUUUAAAAUGGAACUGUCUACGUGUUAGUCAUUCAUGAAUCUUUAGUAUUAUUAGCAUUUUUAAGCAAAUAUAGUGCAUUUAUUAUAUAAAAACAGUGCGUACAAUGUCAUCAAUUAUGUUGAAUAUUGUUGCAUUAUUCUGUUGCAAUAACUGCAUUGAUUAGUGAAGACAGUUAUGUACAGGGUUUAAUGAGAUCAAGCAAGCUUCCUAGGCAAAGCCUUUUGUAGUACUGAAAAAAUACAGUAUAAUCAAUUAAAUUAAAGUUUAUACAAAAAAUAGUCCAUAUAUGGAAAUGCAUAAAUAUAUAAAAGCAU